rnacentral:rRNA from 1 species
UUCGAUCCUGGCUCAGGAUUGAACGCUAUGGAUGCUUUACACAUGCAAGUCGAACGGCAGCACGGACUUCGGUCUGGUGGCGAGUGGCGAACGGGUGAGUAAUGUAUCGGAACGUGCCUUCCAGUAGCGGGAUAGCGAAAGCAGUAGCUAAUACCGCACACACCCUUCGGGAAAGCGGGGACCUUCGGGCUCGCACUAUUAGAGCGGCCGAUAUCGGAUUAGCUAGUUGGUGGGGUAACGGCUCACCAAGGACGAUCCGUAGCUGGUUUGAGGACGACCAGCCACACUGGGACUGAGACACGGCCCAGACUCCUACGGGAGGCAGCAGUGGGGGAAUUCUGGGACAAUGGGGAAACCUGAUCCAGCCAUCCUCCGGGCGUGUGCGAUGAAGGCCUUCGGGUUGUAAAGCACUUUUGGCAGGAAACGGCACGGGGAUAAUACCCUGCGCAACUGACGGUACCUGCAGAAUAAGCACCGCCAACUACGCCAGCAGCCGCGUAAUACGGAAGCGUUAACGGAAUUACUGGGCGUAACGCGCGUGGCGGCAGGCGGUUCGGAAAGAAAGAUGUGAAAUCCCAGAGCUUAACUUUGAACCGCAUUUUUAACUACCGAGCUAGAGUGUGUCAGAGGGAGGUGGAAUUCCGCGUGUAGUAGUGAAAUGCGUAGAUAUGCGGAGGAACACCGAUGGCGAAGGCAGCCUCCUGGGAUAACACUGACGUGCCUGGCACGAAAGCAGACAAACAGAUUAGAUACCCUGGUAGUCCACGCCCUAAACGAUACCAACUAGCUGUUGGGGCCUCUGGGCCUUGGCAUGCAGCUAACGCAGUUGACCGCCUGGGAGUACGGUCGCAAGAUUAAAACUCAAAGGAAUUGACGGGGACCCGCACAAGCGGUGGAUGAUGUGGAUUAAUUCGAUGCAACGCGAAAACCUUACCUACCCUUGACAUGUCUGGAAUCCCGAAGAGAUUUGGGAGUGUCGCAAGAGAACCGGAACACAGGUGCUGCAUGGCUGUCGUCAGUUCGUGUCGUGAGAUGCGUUGGGUUAAGUCCCGCAACGAGCGCAACCCUUGUCAUUAUUGCUACGAAAGGGCACUCUAAUGAGACUGCCGGUGACAAACCGGAGGAAGGUGGGGAUGACGUCAAGUCCUCAUGGCCCUUAUGGGUAGGGUCACACGUCAUACAAUGGUCGGGACAGAGGGUCGCCAACCCGCGAGGGGGAGCCAAUCCCAGAAACCCGAUCGUCCGGAUCGCAGUCUGCAACUCGACUGCGUGAAGUCGGAAUCGCUAGUAAUCGCGGAUCAGCAUGUCGCGGUGAAUACGUUCCCGGGUCUUGUACACAAUGCCCGUCACACCAUGGGAGUGGGUUUUACCAGAAGUAAAGUUAGCCUAACCGUAAGGAGGGCGAUUACCACGGUAGGAUUCAGACUGAGGUGAAGUCGUAACAAGGUAG